UCGGCAUUUUUCUUCUCAGAAUCUGCUCUUUUUUUCUCUUUCUGCAAAAGCUUCUUGAGCUGACUUAUCUCUGUUUCCUUAUCAGAUAUAAGCCUUUCUGUUUCCUUGUUCACAUCUUGAGCUCCCGAGUUCUUGCUCACAUCUUGAGCUUGUGAGACAAUUUGUUGCUGCAAUAGCUCUAGCUGAGAUUUCAGGGAAGAAAUUUCAAUCUCUAGAGGAAGUCGUACAGCUGAUUCUUUCAAUAUUAUCUCACUUUCUUU
rnacentral:lncRNA from 1 species